AACGAACGCUGGCGGCAUGCCUAACACAUGCAAGUCGAACGAGACCUUCGGGUCUAGUGGCGCACGGGUGCGUAACGCAUGGGAACCUGCCCUUAGGUUCGGAAUAACUCCCCGAAAGGGGUGCUAAUACCGGAUAAUGUCUUCGGACCAAAGAUUUAUCGCCUUUGGAUGGGCCCGCGUUGGAUUAGCUAGUUGUUAGGGUAAAAGCCUACCAAGGCGACGAUCCAUAGCUGGUCUGAGAGGAUGAUCAGCCACACUGGGACUGAGACACGGCCCAGACUCCUACGGGAGGCAGCAGUGGGGAAUAUUGGACAACGGGCGGAAGCCUGAUCCAGCACUGCCGCGUGAGUGAUGAAGGCCUUAGGGUUGUAAAGCUCUUUUACCCGGGAUGAUAAUGACAGUACCGGGAGAAUAAGCUCCGGCUAACUCCGUG
rnacentral:rRNA from 1 species